rnacentral:tmRNA from 1 species
GGGCGGUGCGGAGUUAACUCAGUAGAGAUGGCUAAGCAUGUAGAACUGAUAGUGGCGGACUGGCGGACGGGGGUUCAAAUCCCCCCGGCUCCACCA